AUUUUAAGAAGAUCCAUGGGACCAGUGUUAUUCUCCUUUUCUAUUGACUCCAAGCAACAGCACAGGGAGAGCCAAGACUUUCCAAAAGACCUGUACAACGGAGGCCAGCAUCAUGAAACACAAACUCCCAAACCAGCAUGGUAACAUGAAACACAAACUCCCAAACCAGCAUGGUAACACACAGGACUUCUUCUGAUUCUUCUUAUGUUCUUGGGUCUUGCCUGUGGUUCUACACGCAUCCAGAAAUGCAGACAAAGAACAGCUUGGCCUUUAACAGUCGGAAGCCUCUGAUUUUACUCUACUAAGCCUCAGAUACAGUCUGUUUUCUGUUCUCAUUCAGUCAUU